rnacentral:sRNA from 1 species
AUUAUGCACUGCUCCCCACUACUAAAUUUUGGAUGGCUCAUCAAGAGAUGGGCCA